ensembl:lncRNA
CAGAUAUGUCAGCUCUUGCAGCAGAGGUGGUCUUGGAACGGGGCAUGUCGCGUUUUAUUUUAUUUUAUUUUACCUUUGUGGUAUAGAAGGCCACUAACGCAUGUACGUUUUUCGGUUUAGUGCAUGACUUUGGAACAGCGUGGUUUCAGGCGGCUGAUGGUAAACCCACCCAUAUUGGGCUUUGGAUUUGGACAUACUGGUUUCGAUUUCCCUUCCCAAAAGAUUGGCUUUAAUUUGCUGAUGGUUAAGGUUAGACGUUUCGACGUUGGUUGCACCAACGGCGUUCUUAGAUUUGCUUAUCAUUUAAUGCGCAUGGUUUUGACCGUUGCGCAAGGGGUGAGGUAUUGAGGAGAAUUAAAAAAAAUAAUAAUAAUAAUAAUAAUAAUUAGAAAACAAGGUUUUUCUUCACCAUACUUGCAAACAAUGAUUGACAUCCGGCUAAAUGAGUGUGAAAUACAGUGUUCAACAGAUGGGUAAAGCCAUCCCAUCAAAAGACCAAAGUGGGACUACAGUAAUCAAGUUUCUGACUGGAGAAGUCAAGACAAGCAAGAGAAACACAAAGUUCCAGGGCCAGAGGAGGAGCCAGAUGCAGACACGCCCGGAGCCGACCAACUACCCAAGGAUGAUGCAAUCAAAUUUCAGCAGGGUUACAGUCCCUCAGAUUAGAGUUGGCAGAGAGCUCCGGCAUUAAUGACCCCUUCACAGGAUGGAUGGAGAGCCCAAUGAGCGAUGGGCGCUACAGGUGCAGCAGGUGCCAUCCAAGCUUACCUGGGGAUCGAGUAUACACCGGAGAGUUUGGACGAGGGACCACCAGAGGGGCCCGACCUGAUCUGGCUGGAGAACAUAGAAUAGACCUCCUGCACCAUUGUCCAAGAGCCCCCACGCCAUGCAGCGCACCAAUACAUGAAGAUCACCUGACCUCCCCCCCCUUUUCCCAUCCCAGCCACUGCAAACGGACCCCACCACCAACUACAGAGUACGAGCUCCCCUACACACUCCCAACCUCGCCUCCGAAGAGACACUCCCAACCCCCGCCGACGACUGUGUCCCCGCCGAGCCGGACAUCUACCCGUGAGUGCGAGUGGCCUCUCCAGAUGCACGGCCCCAGCGUCCUGUUUCCAUCACCGUCGGCUGACACCCCACCGCAACACCCCUUCCCUCUCCCCCGCCUGUGACGUGCUAGUAACCUCUCCAGGUGGGCUGCCCCAUUCCCGUCCCCGCCAACGGCAUCACCCCCCUCCCACCUGAGGCACCCACGACGCCCGGACCAGGGAUCUGCGUUCCGGUACCAGGGGCUGCGGCCCGCUCCCUUAAGGCUUGAGGGCACCCCUGGCUGUAUUCGCUUCUGUACGCUUCACUGUUUUUAGCCGCUCCCAUAUCUAUGCCCGCGUCUAAGCAAACCGACGCCGGGAACGUAGAUGUUGUUGUUUAUAUCGCUGUCCCACUAGAUGGAGCUCGGGGAUACACACGGGCGAGAUUCCAGGGGCCUUGAUUGCCCGUUUAUCAGAUGAGGUCCUGAGCGCAGUUGAAUAAAAGGGUCUAAUGCUCAGGUGGCGCCUUGCGACCACCUGCCCAUGAUGACGCUCAGGACUAUUCCAUGGUUUCAGUUGUUCCCGUGCCCCGAGCCUACCCUGGAUGCCCCAUGCGUGUGAUUGCUUGUUGUAACACGACCAGUCAACUCCUCCUCACAUCCUUAGUGUGUGGUCCUCUAGGGAUGGGUUGAGGGGGAUUGCCAUUCGUUAUCCGCCUCAUAUCUUCGCUAUUAUUUAGGGACACGUUUCGUGGUUACAUUUCUUUCCUGUGAUCGUUAGUGUAGUAUUUGUGUGAUUGUUGCAUUUUUAUAUUGUUCUUGUUUACUGUUUGUUUUAUUGUUGCAUUUUGUUGUUAUGUUUGGAGUUUGUUUUAUUGUUGCAUUUUGUUGUUAUGUUUGGAGUUUGUUUUAUUGUUGCAUUUUGUUGUUAUUGUUAUGGUUUGGUGUUGGUUUUGUUAUGUGGCCAGCUUUGUUGUUGGUUGUUGUUUUUUGGUGUUGGUUUUUGUAUUAUUGUAUGUUUAUGGUAUGUUUUGUGUAUUAUCUGCUACUAUUAUUGUUGGUAUUGUUUGCUCGCAAUGUAGGGCCGGGGUGGAUGCCACCCCCUAGGUGGGGUGUGUAUGGCAUGCCCAUGCCUGAAGCAUGGGUGGCGUUUCUCCCAAGUGGUUCCCCAUACACCCGGUCCAGCGAGCUGUUUUCAUCCCAGGCUCAUGGUUAUUUGUUUUUAUGGUCAUUUGCCUUCUUUCUGUUAUUUCUAAUAUUGUUAUAAUGGUAGUCCCGCGCUGGAGUCCUAUCCCUCGUACCCCUAAUGAGUAAAAGUCGUCUUGCGACGACUUGAGGGGGAUAUGUUGGGCAAAAUAACCUGCUGAGUACAUCACAUGUACAUUAUAAGUAUAGCUAACUCCUACCCUAGAUUAAUGAGCACAUCACAUGGCAGUCAACUUACAAUAUAGUCAACUUUUAACACAUAACACAUACAUGAGAAUAUAGUCAGGUCAAGGCCGGAGCCGAAG